AACGAACGCUGGCGGCAGGCCUAACACAUGCAAGUCGAGCGAGGACUUCGGUCCUAGCGGCGGACGGGUGAGUAACGCGUGGGAACGUGCCCUUUGCUUCGGAAUAGCCCUGGGAAACUGGGAGUAAUACCGGAUGAGCCCUUUGGGGGAAAGAUUUAUCGGCGAAGGAUCGGCCCGCGUUGGAUUAGGUAGUUGGUGGGGUAAUGGCCUACCAAGCCGACGAUCCAUAGCUGGGUUGAGAGGAUGAUCAGCCACACUGGGACUGAGACACGGCCCAGACUCCUCCGGGAGGCAGCAGUGGGGAAUCUUAGACAAUGGGGGAAACCCUGAUCUAGCCAUGCCGCGUGAGCGAUGAAGGCCUUAGGGUUGUAAAGCUCUUUCAGCUGGGAAGAUAAUGACGGUACCAGCAGAAGAAGCCCCGGCUAACUCCGUG
rnacentral:rRNA from 1 species